UCCAGCAGGCAUGUGAUGAGACUGUUCAC
rnacentral:piRNA from 1 species